GAUUACUCAAUUGCACUUAGAUGAUUAUGAGAAAAGUCCUAAAUUAAGUAGGUGAUCAGUCUAAUUGAUUUAGAAAAAUUCCUUGAACGAUAAAACAAGCAACUCAAGAAUGCCAAAUCCAAAUUUAAACAAAAUAAAUCUUCAAAUACCUUGUGCUAGGUUUCUUAAGUGUCUAACUAAGCUUGAAUAUUCUAACCACUCAUAGCAAUUGAAACAAAACAAGAAUCAAU
rnacentral:lncRNA from 1 species